GUGAAUUUGAAUUUACACAUAACAUUAAUGUGGAAUAUAUAUUAAUUUAAAAUUACUCAAAUAACAAAAUCACACAAAAAAAAAUCCUAAUAUCACUUAGAAUUAGAAAAAAAAUCCCUAAGAAUAUGUUGUCUUCUUCUUCAACAGAAAUCGGUUGUCUUCUUCACCCCCAUCCUAGUCUCGCUGCCAUCCAUCAUAUCGGCCGCCACCCAUCUCGUCGUCGGGUCGAUGUGGGUCGUCGGCACCCACCGCCGCCUGUCUUCUAUCACGCCUCCAAUCCUGUGUCUUCCAUCGCGCCGCCAACCGUUGGUCUUCAUUCUCGCCACGCACCCGCUAUGGGCCGGCCAACUCCACCGCCGACGGCUGAAAUCGUCGAAGCUCUGCCGUCCUUUGCCCCCAAGCUCGAAAAUACAGAACUGAAUUGUCCCUGCAAAUCAUAGCUCGCCUCCUUGAAGGCGAGCCUUCCGCCCCUCACCCUCGCCCCAAGCUCGAAAAUACAGAACUGAAUUGUCCCUGCAAAUCAUAGCUCGCCUCCUUGAACGCGAGCCUUCCGCCCCUCACCCUCUCGUACGCUUCUGACAUCCCUUGAUUUUGUUACACCUCUUCACCUGAAGAUCAUCGCGAUUCUUGUCAAGGUUUUGCUUCUCUCUUUACAAAGAUAAUUGUACAUUAUUAUCUUUUGCUUCUCUCUCUAUAUAUGCGCUUAUAAGCCAAGCUAAUCAAAAUAAAAUUCACGAUUUUCAUCAAAAUCAUUUUUUACCACGAUUUUUAAAAUUGAAAUUAAAGGAUGACUGUUUGAGGUGUGAUGAUUUUACUGGGUGCGUGGCUGAAGAAUGAAAAAAAAAAGAAAAAUUAUGGGAAAGAUGAAAUUCGGGCAAAGUUCGUGAUAUUUGGUGUAAUAAAAAAAUGCAACUUUUUCAAUCACCGGAGUGAAACGUGUGUGGCGUGUGCCGGCGAGCCACAUCAACGCCACGUCUACUCCGAUUUGGGGGGAAAAAUAUCAUGGAAAAAAUGAACGACUAAUUCAAUCUUUGAUAAAAAAUGAUUUUUUUUUUUUAAAUUAUGGGGAAAAUGAAAUUCGGGCAAAGUUUGUGAUAUUUGGUGCAAUUAACCCAAACUGUAAAUCUACAUAAUUAAUUUGGCUUUAGAAGUUCGAACAGCGCAGCAUAAAAUGAGCUCUGAGACGAAGAAGCAGCCAAUCAAUGGAUCCGGGUCGGGUGGUUUUAGGGCUAAGUUAAAUUAUUAUCUUCAUAGUGGUGAGAAGAAGCAUGUUGCCGCUGGUAUCGCUAUAAUUGGAGUUAUCUUGGGUUUACCCUGGUACCUCACGGCCCGAGGGAUAAACCAUCGAUCUCAUCAAGAUUAUUUAGAAAGAGCCGAUAAAGCUAGAAGUGAAAAACUUUAUGCUGGUACGUCAACAAUUAGAUGAAGAGAAGGAGGUUCUCUUCACCGGCUUAUCUUCUUCUCCAAUCAAUUUUGGGUACCCUGCUUUCUCCUAUUUUUAUGAAGCAAUGUUCUUGAGUAAGGUCUUGAAGUCCUCAUUAUUGGGUGGGUGGAAGUGAUGUGUCCUGUUCUACUCUAUUGGAUGAUUAGCUUCCAAUGGAAAUUGCAAAUUGGUUUUCACUUUAAUAUACGCAUAUAAUUUAGUUAUUAAAUCACCCCCUCACUUUUACUUAUUUGACUAAUAUCUACUAAUCAUCUUGCUAAAGCCUCUACUCAGGACCAGGAUAGAGAAAAUUGUCUGUUGUACAAUACAUGAGAUGAGAUUCUCUUUUUUCUAAUGUCUUUUAACAUCGUGUUAUAUUUUAUUUUUUCAAUUUAAUCACCAAGUCCUACAUAUGUAGCAACAAUUGGUUGCAAAUUUGCAAUGUUACUGAAUUGAAACAAAGUUUUAACAUAGUAUUCAGCUAUUACUGUUAGUCUGAGUUUUAGCCCAUCAUUGUACUAGUUCUAAAUGCAGUUGCGAGAAAUAAUUAUUUUCUUACCAGGUCUACUUAUUUGUAUUUUCUAGCUUCCAUUUCUGAGGGAAGUAGUGUUUUUUAGCUUAGACACUUCUCCUACUGAUGAUGUAAUCCAAAAAAUUAUUGAUUGAAUUAGAAUUCGAAUUA